rnacentral:rRNA from 1 species
UACAGGGGGCUCGAGCGUUAGUCGGAAUCACUGGGCUUAAAGGGUGCGUAGGUGGCUCGCCAAGUGCUUUGUGAAAUCCCACAGCUCAACUGUGGAACAGCAGGGCAAACUGGCGGGCUUGAGGCAGGUAGGGGCCGGAAGAACAGUUGGUGGAGCGGUGAAAUGCGUAGAUAUCAACUGGAAUGCCGAUGGGGAAGCCGUCCGGCUGGGCCUGUCCUGACGCUGAGGCGCGAAAGCUAGGGGAGCAAACGGG